AACGAACGCUGGCGGCGUGGAUAAGACAUGCAAGUCGAGCGGGAUUUCUUUUGGUAGCAAUACCGAAGGAAGUCUAGCGGCGAACGGGUGCUUAACACGUGGGCAACCUGCCAAGAAGUGGGGGAUAGCUCGCCGAAAGGCGAGUUAAUACCGCAUGUGAUUAGAGAGGACAUCCUUUCGAAAUUAAAGUCGGGGCAACCUGACGCUUUUUGUGGGGCCCGCGGCCUAUCAGCUAGUUGGUGAGGUAACGGCCCACCAAGGCUUUGACGGGUAGCUGGGCUGAGAGGACGACCAGCCACACUGGGACUGAGACACGGCCCAGACACCUACGGGUGGCAGCAGUCGAGAAUUUUUGACAAUGGGGGAAACCCUGAUCGAGCGACGCCGCGUGGAGGAUGAAGGUCUUCGGAUUGUAAACUCCUGUCAUUGGGGAACAAGGUGCAUACGUUAACUGCGUGUGCAUUGAUAGUACCCGAAGAGGAAGAGACGGCUAACUCUGUGCCAGCCGCCGCCGUAAUAC
rnacentral:rRNA from 1 species